rnacentral:rRNA from 1 species
GAGUUUGAUCAUGGCUCAGAGCGAACGCUGGCGGCAUGCUUAACACAUGCAAGUCGCACGGUCAGCAAUGGCAGUGGCGGACGGGUGAGUAACACGUAGGAAUCUAUCUCUGGGUGGGGGACAACAGUGGGAAACUACUGCUAAUACCGCAUGAUACCUGAGGGUCAAAGGCGUAAGUCGCCUGGAGAGGAGCCUGCGUCUGAUUAGCUUGUUGGUGGGGUAAAGGCCUACCAAGGCUACGAUCAGUAGCUGGUCUGAGAGGAUGAUCAGCCACAUUGGGACUGAGACACGGCCCAAACUCCUACGGGAGGCAGCAGUGGGGAAUAUUGGACAAUGGGCGAAAGCCUGAUCCAGCAAUGCCGCGUGUGUGAAGAAGGUCUUCGGAUUGUAAAGCACUUUUGGCAGGGACGAUGAUGACGGUACCUGCAGAAUAAGCCCGGCUAACUUCGUGCCAGCAGCCGCAGU